UACGUAGGGAGCAAGCGUUGUCCGGAAUCAUUGGGCGUAAAGCGCGCGUAGGCGGCCUUGUAAGUCCGUUGUGAAAGUCAAAGGCUCAACCUUUGAAAGCCGAUGGAUACUGUGAGGCUAGAGUCCGGAAGAGGCGAGUGGAAUUCCUGGUGUAGCGGUGAAAUGCGCAGAUAUCAGGAGGAACACCGGUGGCGAAGGCGGGUCUCUGGGCCGAUAUUGACGCUGAGGAGCGAAAGCGUGGGGAGCAAACAGG
rnacentral:rRNA from 1 species